rnacentral:rRNA from 1 species
GAAGACUGAACCAGCCAUGCCGCGUGCAGGAAGAAUGGCCUUAUGGGUGGUAAACUGCUUUUAUAUGGGGAAGAAUAAGGCGUACGUGUACGUUGAUGACGGUACCAUAUGAAUAAGCAUCGGCUAACUCCGUGCCAGCAGCCGCGGUAAUACGGAGGAUGCGAGCGUUAUUCGGAAUCAUUGGGUUUAAAGGGUCUGUAGGCGGGCUAUUAAGUCAGGGGUGAAAGGUUUCAGCUUAACUGAGAAAUUGCCUUUGAUACUGGUAGUCUUGAAUAUCUGUGAAGUUCUUGGAAUGUGUAGUGUAGCGGUGAAAUGCUUAGAUAUUACACAGAACACCGAUUGCGGAGGCAGGGGACUAACAGACGAUUGACGCUGAGAGACGAAAGCGUGGGGAGCGAACAGGAUUAGAUACCCUGGUAGUCCACGCUGUAAACGAUGGAUACUAGCUGUUUGGAGUAAUUUGAGUGGCUAAGCGAAAGUGAUAAGUAUCCCACCUGGGGAGUACGCACGCAAGUGUGAAACUCAAAGGAAUUGACGGGGGCCCGCACAAGCGGUGGAGCAUGUGGGUUUAAUUCGAUGAUACG